rnacentral:ncRNA from 1 species
AUAAAUAUGGUGAUGAAGACAAGUUCGGUAAUCGGCAGACUUCAGAGAGCUGGUGGUCGGUGGGAACCAGUGCUGCUGUUAUGGAAUAGCACUUCGGAAUAGGCAAGCUGAAACAUUAGUAGGUCUGCCCGCUUCAUGCCCGUUACGCAUGGCGCCAAUGAAGACUGUUGGAAAACAGUGAAAAAGGGUGGUACCGCGAGAGUGAUAACUUUUCGCCCCUUAC